UACGUAGGGUGCAAGCGUUGUCCGGAAUUAUUGGGCGUAAAGAGCUCGUAGGCGGUCUGUCGCGUCUGCUGUGAAAACUCGGGGCUCAACCCCGAGCCUGCAUACGAUACGGGCAGACUUGAGUUCGGCAGGGGAGACUGGAAUUCCUGGUGUAGCGGUGAAAUGCGCAGAUAUCAGGAGGAACACCGGUGGCGAAGGCGGGUCUCUGGGCCGAUACUGACGCUGAGGAGCGAAAGCGUGGGGAGCAAACAGG
rnacentral:rRNA from 1 species